AUGUGUGUGGAUGGUGUUCAGUACCAGGUAAAGGUGUGUUUACUUGAGAGUGGAUGUUGUUCAGCACCAGGGACAGGUGAGUUUACCU
rnacentral:pre_miRNA from 1 species